rnacentral:rRNA from 1 species
GGGACUUGGAGUUUUAGUGGCGAACGGGUGAGUAACGCGUGAGGAACCUGCCUUUCAGUGGGGGACAACAGUUGGAAACGACUGCUAAUACCGCAUAAUACUUUCGAGCGGCAUCGUUUGAAAGUCAAAGAUUUAUUGCUGAAAGAUGGCCUCGCGUCUGAUUAGCUGGUUGGUGAGGUAACGGCCCACCAAGGCGACGAUCAGUAGCCGGUCUGAGAGGAUUGAACGGCCACAUUGGGACUGAGACACGGCCCAGACUCCUACGGGAGGCAGCAGUGGGGAAUCUUCCGCAAUGGACGAAAGUCUGACGGAGCAACGCCGCGUGAACGAUGACGGCCUUCGGGUUGUAAAGUUCUGUUAUACGGGACGAAUGGCGUAGCGGUCAAUACCCGUUACGAGUGACGGUACCGUAAGAGAAAGCCACGGCUAACUACGUG